rnacentral:ribozyme from 1 species
UGCCCAGCAACUCCUAUCCCUACCUCCACGCGGUACCGGCCGGAAACUAUGAGCAACCUUAGGGAAGAUCGGGUAACCAACCCCGGUGGGACCUUUGGUCGUUGGCUGACUGGGAAGG